CUGGUGCAAACGACACUAACCGUCUGCACGCGCCUUUAUGAUAACAAUAAUAAUUAAAUUGUAUAUGAAAAUUGUGGUAAAAUCAAAUUAGUUUCAUUAACAUUUGUGCUGUGUUGUGUUUUUUUGGAGUGUAUUGUGUUGUGUUGUAGGUGUCUUUCACUUUGAAAUGAAUGCAGAUUGACUCGGCCCUGGAAGAUGGAGACCAGGGCUGAUGAUGACGAAGCACCUACUGACCCCGCUGCUAGGAAGCACACGCAUCAUGACUACACCGAGCAGGACUUCGAAGGCCACCGCGCUCACACCGUAUUCGUGGGCGUCCACGUGCCCGCUCGCCGCCACUCACACCGCAAACACAAGCACCACCACCGCAAUGGAGAGAAAGAGAUCGAUAGACCUGGGCCUCCGAUUAUGGCACGUGUUCGAAGAUUGAGUGUCACCGAUGAUGGAGAGACAUUGACACCACCAGCUCAACGAGUCCAAUUCAUAUUGGGAGAAGACGUUGAAGAUGGAGCACUUGAAUCACAUCCAUUGUUCUCGGAAAUGGAGGAAUUGGUCAAGGAAGGCGAUGAACUCGAAUGGAAAGAGACUGCACGAUGGAUUAAAUUUGAAGAAGAUGUCGAAGAAGGUGGAAACCGAUGGUCGAAACCACACGUUGCAACAUUGUCCCUUCAUUCGCUCUUCGAACUGAGAAGUCUGAUUUUAAACGGAGCUGUUAUAUUGGAUAUGGAAGCGAAUUCAUUAGAGCAAGUUGCUGAUAGUGUACUGGAUAAUAUGGUAGCAGAUGGUUCCUUAGGAUAUGAUUGUAGAGAAAAAGUUAAAGAUGCUUUGUUGAGGAGACAUAGGCAUCAACAUGAGAAACGAAAUCACAACAACAUGUCCAGACUUCCUCUUAUACGUUCAUUGGCAGACAUUGGAAGGAAUCAUUCAUCGUGUAAAAAUUUCCAGGACGGUGGCUCUCGACGCUCCAGUUCCCGGAGUAGUCGGGGGUCUACCACGUCUCCCCACACGGCCCUUCUUGAAGCCAGCGAUACCAGAGGAUCAUAUCUAGCCGUUCCAGUGGACGAAGGCGGUACUACAGGGGGACAUUCUCACAAAGGAGAUUUCACUCGUUUCCUAGGCAUCCCUAACGCGGGUUCCACGCACGAUGAAGGAAUGGUAAGAAGUCCAAGUAGCAUAUCGAUGCCAAGAAAUCAUAGCUCAGGCGAUCUGAUGAACGGAGAUAUAAACCACAAAAGUAAUACAAACUUCAUGAGGAAAAUACCACCAGGUGCUGAAGCAUCAAACAUAUUGGUUGGUGAAGUAGAUUUCCUUGAAAAAACACUUUCAGCUUUCGUGAGAUUGAAGGCUGGAACGAUAAUGGGAGAUCUAACAGAAGUACCAGUGCCAACACGCUUUAUGUUUGUUUUGCUCGGACCGCCUAAUAGUAAUUCUAGUUUUCAUGAGAUCGGAAGAGCGAUGGCUACUCUUAUGUCCGACGAAAUAUUCCAUGAAGUAGCUUACCGCGCCAGAAAAAGAGAUCAUUUAUUAGCAGGGAUAGACGAAUUUCUUGACGCCGUUACUGUUUUACCCCCUGGAGAAUGGGAUCCAGCCAUCCGUAUUGAACCACCAGCAGCAAUCCCCUCACAAGAUCCUCGGAAACGUCCUAAUGAUAACAAUUCAAAAGAGGAGCCUGAUGAGGAGGAAGAAGAACAAAAACAAAGAGAAGAAUCGGGAUUAGCUAGGUCUGGGAAACUGUUCGGAGGUCUAAUAAAUGACCUCAAAAGGAAGAAACCUUGGUACUGGUCUGACUUUAAAGACGCUUUAGCUAUUCAAUGCAUUGCGUCUUGGAUUUUCCUGUAUUUUGCUUGUUUGUCGCCUAUUAUCACCUUUGGAGGAUUAUUGGGUGAAGCGACAGGAAAAAAUAUGGCCGCUAUGGAAUCUUUGAUCUCAGGAUUUGUGUGCGGCAUGGGAUACGGUUUCUUUUCAGGACAACCCUUAACAAUUUUAGGUUCAACAGGGCCCGUGUUGGUUUUCGAAACAAUUGUUUUUGAAUUUUGUAAGCAAGCGGGCUGGGAUUACAUGUCAUUUAGGUUUUGCAUCGGGACAUGGAUUACAAUUAUUCUCAUAAUACUGGUGGCGAUUGAUGCAAGUGCAUUUGUUUGCUACAUAACGAGAUUUACAGAGGAGAAUUUUGCAACUUUGAUAGCAUUCAUAUUUAUUUAUAAGGCUGUAGAAAAUGUAAUUUCUAUCGGGAAAAAGUAUCCACUAAAGACACGCCCUGAUGAGGUUCUCAAUUAUGAGUGCUACUGUUUGCCGACCAAUUACUCCAGAGUGCCAGAGCACUUUAAUUGGACUACAGUAGAUAAAGCGUCCUGUCAGUUGUAUAACGGAACUUUGGCGGGAGGAGGCUGUGACACGAAAGUUUACGUACCAGAUGUUUAUUUAAUGUCAAUUAUACUAUUUUUGGGUACAUUUAUUAUUUCUGUUAUCUUGAAAGACUUUAAAAACUCUCUCUUCUUUCCUUCUAAGAUCCGGCAAGUCAUCAGUGACUUUUCUGUUAUCAUAGCCAUUUUAUCAAUGUCCUUCUUGGACUAUAAAGUUGGCGUCAAAACACCUAAACUGGAAGUUCCGUCGGAGUUCAAACCAACGCUUCCUACUAGAAAUUGGAUAAUUACACCAUUCAAUGGCAAUCCUUUCUAUUCUGCUUUAGUUGCAAUACUACCGGCGCUUCUUGGAACUAUACUCAUAUUCAUGGAUCAGCAGAUAACGGCUGUGAUUGUAAAUAGAAAAGAGAACAAACUAAAAAAAGGAUGUGGAUACCACUUGGAUCUUUUUGUAUUGGCAAUUUUAAUACAGAUUUGUUCUGUAAUGGGACUACCGUGGUUUGUUGCUGCAACUGUCCUAAGCAUCAAUCAUGUCAAUUCUCUAAAAGUUGAAUCAGAAUGCGCAGCGCCUGGAGAAAAGCCACAAUUCUUAGGGGUUCGAGAACAGAGAGUCACACAUAUUUUGAUAUUUUUAACCAUAGGAUGCUCUGUUGUUUUAACUCCUAUACUGAGUCACAUCCCAAUGCCAGUGCUGUUUGGAGUAUUUUUAUACAUGGGAGCAGCUUCCUUGAAAGGGCUUCAAUUUUUCGAUAGAAUUUUAAUAAUGUUUAUGCCACAAAAGUAUCAGCCUGACCAUAUGUUUUUAAGACAGGUCCCAAUUCGUCGCGUUCAUAUCUUCACUGCAAUCCAGCUAACUUGUUUAGUCUGUCUUUGGGUCAUAAAGUCUUUCUCGAUGACGUCAAUACUAUUCCCACUGAUGUUAGUCGUAAUGAUCGGGAUAAGAAAAUCACUAGAUCUGUUUUUCACGCGAAGGGAGUUGAAAAUUUUGGAUGACGUGAUGCCAGAGAUGACAAAGAGAAACCAGGAUGAAUUGCGGGAACUUGGAGAUGUUGAGGAUGCAACCAAGACUAACCCACCAGCAUAUCAGGAGAAUCUACAGAUUCCGCUAAUUAAUGGGAAUAUAAUGAAUAUCCCAUUGGCAUCGAUAAAUAUAUCAGAAGAAGUGAAUAAGACAGGAAUAUGGAAACAAGUGAAUAAUAGCAACAAAAGCAAGAAUAAAAAUGACACGAAGGAACACAAACAUAAAUCGAGCAAGAAAAAUAUUUAUAAUUCCAGUAACAAGCACAAGAAACUAACAAAAACUACAUUAUCCGAGAUCGAACGAAGACUAUCGACCAUGGACGAACUAGAAGAGGAGGAUUCGUCAAAGGUGGUUAGAGACACCAAAUUUUGAGUGGUGCACAGUAGCCCCGUGUCGUUUGACCACUGGACACGCAUGGACGCAUGAACGAACUCCUAAAGCGAAAGGAAUCUUGGAGCAGCAGUAAAAGAAGUGAAUCAAGAAAAAAUAGUACUUCAGCAGAAACAUCGGUCUAAACCUUUAUUUUGUAAGUUCUAUAUUGUUUGUACUUAUAUACUUACUUCGUCUAACUUAGUACUAGUACUUGCUAACUUAUACUUACUUAGAUGUAUGUAUAUGCAGAAUACCAAUUUUUUAAUUUUUUUUUAAAUGAUCUUGAUUUAUAAAAUUUUCAUUGUCGUCGAAAUUUUAUGAAAAAAUAAGUAAGGCAUCCUUGUAAUUUAAAAAAAUAUAUAUAUUACAUAUUACCUGCACUUAUUUAAAUGAAAAUCUGUGAACAUCUUUAUUACAUCUAAAUAUCAUUGUAUAUAUUUGUUUAGCAUAUUGUAUUUUAUGUCGUGAUUAGAUAAUCUUUGAAAUUAUUUGUUUGACAUUACUUACAUAGAGGAAGCACAACAGUUUUUUGUAGGAGUACUAAGGAAUUUAAGUAAAUGUAUGUCUGGUACACAUAAAUAUAAAGAAAAACACGUCGACUUCCCGAAUCAGGCAAUCUGUCAACUUGAAAUAUUGGCCACUUGUUGCGAGGGUAAUAUUUCAUACACCGAGUAAAUCUUGUACCGAACAUAUUAUGCUAUAAAUUUAUGAUAGACUGGGCUUCAAUCAUAACUUGUACCUUUAUAUUAGACUAUUUAUACAUAUAAGUUCUUAGAUAUUAGAAAACUGUAUAGUUAUUAUACUAUUUAUUGAAGAAGUGUUUUGGAAUAUCUAUACCUAGUGUAUGGCUUUUACACAAAGCAAAAUACAUAAAGCUCCUUUCUGAGCAGAAAACAAUGAGAUAUUUUUUCAGGCAAUAAUUUGUUUCAUUAUGUCGUCCUAUAAUUAUAGAUACGAGAUGUUUGUAAGGCUCAGCUGAAAAGGUAAACUGUCAUACUAAUAUUAUCGAUUCGUUUGUAUAUAUGUUUGUUACUCUUGCGCAAAUAUACAGGAUGGUUUGUUAUGAAAUUUGGUAGGUGCACGGAUAGAAUAUUGGUAACCUAGAAAUUCCGAAAUUCCAACGGAACCGAAGCCACGGGGCGCAGCUAGUAGAACUAUAUUUUGUAUGAUCAUAACUAACAUAAUACAAAAUCAUCACAUGCACAUUACGGUAGGUAGGUAUAGAGUACACACAUACAUGUACCUAACUUAUAAAUUUGUAUGUAGAAGUAGUAAAUAACCACAAGCAAAUAGUAACGAAGUGCCAACAAUACAACACCAGUAGAUUAGUAUAGAAUUUUGAAUAACAUUUUGCUGACCCAUUUUAUAAAGUAGAAUGUACAGGGUGUAAUAAAAUACCAUCGUUUGUAUAUGUUACGGCUAAAUGUCGAUGUGCGGCUACACCUAGUUUUAGCCAGCUGGACCUAGGUGCGGUCUUUGAUGGUUACACCCAGGUGCUUUAUCUUCGGCUAAACUAGACCACUACACUUUAGCCCUUAUCACAACGGCUAAGCCUAGAUUUUUGUUCAAGUUAAUAUAUCAACACUUCUAAAUAGUGAUCGCCACUUCAGCCGCGUCCUGCAACUCGAACAGAAUCUACCCAAGGUACCGUAUCUUACUAUUUCGCAUGUACCUAUAUAGGUAAGUAUGUAUUUUCUUACACUCUGUCUGUGUAGACAUGCAUCGUUUUUAAACUUAAUAAGCAAAUAAUGUUAAAACAAGUCGAUUUAUUGGGAUAACAAUUAUUUUAUAUUAGGUAUUCAUGUGCCAUUCAAUAUGUAUAAUCAAUCAUAUAUAUAUUUUGUAUAUUAUAAAACAUUGAUUAGUAGGAAAAAAGUACAUUUGAAACAAUUUUUUCAUUGAUAAAAAGGCAUAAAAUGUUAGACAGUUUACAUAGUCCAAGGCUUGUAGUAACUUUAGCGAACUAAAACAUCAGCAGCCUCGCUGGACUACAAUAUGAUAUCAGAAAGACCUUUUGUUGCGGGAGUUUUUUGACAUAAACGUUAUAAAAGUUUAUUAUAACUCUUAACUAAUCUCAUACAUAAGUAUACUUAUGUAGGUCUAGAUACUUGCAUUCUAUGUACUUACCUAUAAUCAAUUAAUUUUUAAAAUAUUAAUAAAAUCUGUCUACUUACUUUUCAGUCCGAUGUCUUAUUACUGUGAGUAGGUACUAUACUUUUAACAGUAUUGAUAUCUUAUUGACAUAAGAAUUUUAUGAGAUAUUAAGGAUAUUAUGUAAAUUUCUAAUACCAUUAUAUUAGAUACAUAUAUUUUAUAAAAAAUAAUGUUUUGAUUAUUUGAUUUAAAUUAAGCUACUCUAGAUUUACAAAUAGUAUAUUUAUUUUUUAGGUUUAAUAUAAUAAUUAUACAUAUACGUGUUAAUAAGAAA